AUGUGCCCUAGCAACAAUGGAACUUUAUUAUUUAGAAGUCACCCCGUCUCCUAGGAAAGGAUAAAGAUAUAUCACCCAUGCUCAAAGAAAAUGAGCCAAACUUGAGUUUAGGAGAUGGCAGCCACACACAGCAGGCUGUCUUGUAAGGGGCACAGCAGCAACCCCAGGACACUGAGGGCAGAGCCUCCAGGACCCAUCACUGGAGAUGACUGCCUGGGAAGACUCACUUCACCGUUAGAGAAGUGUGGCCUUCCCUGGUGGCUCUAGGUUCACAGUACACAGAAUUACCUGCUUUGAGGCAACGCUUCUCUUACCAAGUAGUGACUUAAGAAACAAGAUGUAUGUAAUACUAGUGCCUGGGAAGGAAAAACCACCAAGUAUGGAAGAGAUCAGUUAUGACAGCAGACAGGCUCUUUCACAAAGUAUACUGAAGGAUUCCUGAGUCACCGCCUAGGAUGGCUCCUCCAGCUGCAGUCCAAGGCCCCAGACCACCACGAGGAAGAGGGGAGAAAAGCUCUUGAUGCUAAGUCCUCUUUCAACCCCAGCAGAUGAAGGAACAAAGGAGAUGGAGAAGGAGCACCACUCACUGAAUCCUGCCAGUGAGGGACAGAACAAUCCGACAUUCCUCAGUCAUUUAAGACACUAAAGCAGCUUGUUACGUACCACAAAAUCCAAGUCUAAAUCUAGAACAGCCUGUGGGACUGAAGCCUCCAUCUCCAGUUCCUUAGUGAGCUUAUUCUUAAGUGCAUACAAAAGCCUCACUUUCCUCCAACUGCAUGUGCAAUGUGCUACUCAAUUCAUCUCAAAACCCUUCAGGCCAUUGAAGGGUAUUUUGUAUAUCCCCCCUACCUUCCAGUCACUCCUGUGGAGAACAGAGUAGCCAAGGGGUCAUGAAGCAGCAUCCUCUGCUCAGAAGCCUGCAGGGGGAAAGCUCACUGCUACACGAUUGAGAUCUCACCAGUGCUUCAUGCUGAGCCACAGGUCAAGACAAAAUGUGUUAUGCGACAUUGUUCAUCUGUAGGAGAAAACCUGGAUGUUUGUUCGUAGGAAUGAGCUGUUCCUUAGGACAGACAUGACAAGGCAUACCAGCCUUCAUUCUAUCUCCACUAAAUGGGAUUUUCUUGCUCUUUGAAGAAAGCCCCCCUAGUUCUUAGAGAUGACCAGUUGAUAGCAUUCUAGAUACCUAAAGUCAAGCAGUUGUCAGGGUACCCCUUAUGAUACUUGAUCAGGAGCCAGGAUAGAACAGCUAGAGCAUCCAGGCACUCUCGUGUUAAUGUAAAGGCCCAUUCAGUUUAAGAGAAAUUAUUUCCCUAUUUCAUCAAGGCACUUUCUGGAAGAAUUUGUGUCCCACAAGGUCAACUUCUGAGUGUGAGUAUGACAAAAUGUCAAGUCCUGGAUUUAAACAGACUGGAGACGUCCACUGUAGCAACUGCACUGGCAUCUCCCACUGACCCGUAACUUCUGAUGACUAUAAAAACAUGGGAUAUGCUUGGAAGAGGCCAAGUGUACAAAAGCUAUCUGCUGAGCUCAGCAACUUUGGCUUGGAUGUACUCUAAGCACAGGUGCAUUCCUCUUUUGUUAUGAGGUCAUUUGGGCAACACCCACUCCAGUUCUGGUCUAACAGCAGUGGAAGUCCUCAUGGAGACAUGUGGGUCACCUAGAACUCAGACAGGACAUGGGCCACUUAGUGACCACUAGAGAAGCUUUCUGCACAAAUGAACGUCCCUCCUAACAUCAAAGUCCUCUCAAAGCUUUUUGAUUUGAGAAGACAGGAUUUUUAGCAGCAAGACCAGGGUGAGGAACGUUUCCCAAGUCAGAGGGCAGACUCUGAAGAUCCAGUACAUCCCUUAGGGGGAGGUCUUAGUCAUGGGUAGGGGAGAAGCCUUUCUCCAUCUUAAGCCUGCCCUGCACAUGAACUAGUGGUAAACCUCACAUCCCCUGGAAUAAGGUCAGAUGUCUUCUACCAAUCGGAUUUUACCCAGAAGAAACUUUCAUAAGACACGACUCAAAGGACAUCAAAAAAUGUACAGCUAUGAAAGGUCCACCGAGAGGGAUGUCCAGACAUCCACCACAUUCACCAGGUCCCAUAUCAGCUUUCACAAGGCUAAUCCCAUGGUGAUUUUGUAGCACCAUAACUCAGGACCAUCAUUAUAUAAAGGAUGUGUUUUCGUUUGGUUUGGAAUGAGAUGAACUUGAUAGUUCAUGGAGAACUCCUUGAGCUAGCAGUGGUACCCUAAGUCAAGCAUUCAGAAGUGAGCUCCACCUAGGGUUACUUAGCCUUAUGUCACUUUCCCUAAAGCCUCACAUAGGACGACCUUCUUUAAGCCUCAGAACCGUUUAGAAAUACUAAUUACAAUUUGCAAUACUCGAGUUAAAGUGGAGUCAACUAGAACGAAGAGAUGGGAAAAUCCAACGUCAUAUCGGGGUUUACCAAGAGGCUGACAUGAAAUGGCAUUGUCUAGAGACCUCAAGGGAAAAACAGGAAGAUACAAAGGGCAGUCCAGGCACUAGUGUCCUGCUUGACCUAGCAGAUACUCUGAAACCCAGAGACUCAUUACAUACUUACACUGUCAGCAAAAGGUGGCACCUGGGACCCAGCCACCUGGUGGUGGGGCGUCACCUCCAAGUGCACUUCUACCAUUAUGACUGGCUCUGCAACUCAGAAUGGCUGCAUCCUGGACCCAGCUCAAGUGUCAGACAUGAGAAUCUUUGUCCAGGAAGAAAUUCACAUGGUGAGGUUGUGAUGCCAAUUCUUUGUUUUUAAUCAAGAAAUUUGUACAACUCUGUGAAGUACCAUGUCAUGAAUAAAGACAUUGAAGAACAAA